rnacentral:rRNA from 1 species
GAUGAACGCUAGCGGCAGGCCUAAUACAUGCAAGUCGAGGGGUAAAUAGGUAGCAAUAUAUAUGAGACCGGCGCACGGGUGCGUAACACGUAUGCAAACUACCUAUUACUUGGGCAUAGCUCAGAGAAAUCUGAAUUAAUACCCCAUAACACUUCGAAACGGCAUCGUUUUGCAGUUAAAGCUCCGGCGGUAAUCGAUGGGCAUGCGGAACAUUAGCUAGUUGGUGAGGUAAUGGCUCACCAAGGCCACGAUGUUUAGGGGGUCUGAGAGGAUGAUCCCCCACACUGGUACUGAGACGCGGACCAGACUCCUACGGGAGGCAGCAGUAGGGAAUAUUGGUCAAUGGACGCAAGUCUGAACCAGCCAUGCCGCGUGCAGGAAGAAUGUCCUAUGGAUUGUAAACUGCUUUUUUACGGGAAGAAACCCCUGGAUGCGUCUGGGGCUGACGGUACUGUAAGAAUAAGGAUCGGCUAACUUCGUGCCAGCAGCAGCCGCAGUAA